GCAGGCUGCAGCUGCUUCCCUGUGUGCGCAGGCAGGAAAGGAGUUUUCUGAGGUCCAGGACACGUGAGGAGACCUUCCAAAGCUGUCCUUCCCUGGCCAGCCAAAUAAAUACAGCCAGGCAGCCGCAAAUGGCCACGUUCACAAACGUCUCCUCCCUUGUUGGCAGAGCAUCUGCAAACAGAUCCGCAACUAUCUCGGACUUGGUCAUGAUGGAAAGUCGCUCAGUGGAAGUUUAUUCACAAGUUACACUUUCUCCUGUGUUUGGAAGCCAAAUGACCAACUUGCAGCUUUGCUGUGGUCAAUGACGUGGCUUUGGUCCCCAGCCUGAAGGAAUGCCACUUGUCUCUUAGCUGGAGAUGGGAAGGAGAGAAGCUAAAUCUGACACCGGAGAGUCAUAAGCCCACAUGAUGAGUUUCAGCUGCUACUGAAACCUGGUGGCAUGAAUGUGAACGCAAAGAGGUAUGCUACUUAUUUUUAAAUCGCUUCUUGAAUAUUUCCACCACCAAUAUGUCUCCACUGCUAAUAUACAGUCUUCAAGGAUCAAGUAUAAGUAUAUAUCAAGUAUAAGUUUUGGCAACUUUUCUAGAGCACGAGGAGCCAGGACCUCUGCAAUCCAGCUUUCCUUUUUUUUUUUUUUUUUUCCUGCAUCUUUUCAAUAAGUUUCCCCCCUCUGCUAUGGAAAUUAGAAAGUAGAGCAUGAAGAUGCUAAAAA